UACGUAGGGGGCAAGCGUUGUCCGGAUUUAUUGGGCGUAAAGAGCGUGUAGGCGGCCAGGUAGGUCUGCUGUGAAAACUCAAGGCUUAACCUCGAGCUGUCGGCGGAAACCAUCUGGCUAGAGUCCGGAAGAGGAGAAUGGAAUUCCCGGUGUAGUGGUGAAAUGCGUAGAUAUCGGGAGGAACACCAGUGGCGAAGGCGACUUCCUGGCCUGUUCUAGACGCUGAGGCGCGAAAGCUAGGGGAGCAAACGGG
rnacentral:rRNA from 1 species